rnacentral:misc_RNA from 1 species
GAUGAAGAACGUAGCAAAAUGCGAUACUUGGUGUGAAUUGCAGAAUCCCGUGAACCAUCGAGUUUUUGAACGCAAGUUGCGCCCGAAGCCUUUUGGCCGAGGGCACGUCUGCCUGGGCGUCACGCAUCGCGUCGCCCCCCACAACUCUCCGUAAAGGGAACUUGUGUUUUGGGGGCGGAUAUUGGUCUCCCGUGCUCAUGGCGUGGUUGGCCGAAAUAGGAGUCCCUCCGGUGGACGCACGAACUAGUGGUGGUCGUAAAAACCCUCGUCUUUUGUUUCGUGCCGUUAGUCGCGAGGGAAACUCUUUAAAAACCCAAAUGUGUCGUCUCUUGACGGCGCUUCGACCGCGACCCCAGGUCAGGCGGGACUACCCGCUGAGUUUAAGCAUAUCAAUAAGCGGGGA